rnacentral:rRNA from 1 species
GACGAACGCUGGCGGCGUGCUUAACACAUGCAAGUCGAACGGAAAGGCCCCCAUCUUGGUGGGGGUGCUCGAGUGGCGAACGGGUGAGUAACACGUGGGUGAUCUGCCCUUUACUUCGGGAUAAGCUUGGGAAACUGGGUCUAAUACCGGAUAGGACCAUGGUUUAGAGUCUUAUGGUGGAAAGAUUAUUGUUUUGGUGCAGGAUGAGCUCGCGGCCUAUCAGCUUGUUGGUGGGGUAAUGGCCUACCAAGGCGUCGACGGGUAGCCGGCCUGGGAGGGUGGACGGACUCAUUCGGACUGAGAUUCGGCCCAGACUCCGGAGGGAGGCGGCAGUGGGGUAUAUUGAUCGAUGGGAGCAAGCCUGAUGCAGCGACGCCGCGUGAGGGAGGACGGCCUUCGGGUUGUAAACUCCUUUAGUUAGGAACGAAGCCGUACUUUUUUUGGGUGUGGUGACCGUACCUUUGUUAAGAAGCACCGGCUAACUACGUG